GCCCGAGGGCCAAGCCGUUUCCGCGAUCCGCCUGUCCCCGGCUCCAUCUCCUUUUUCUUGACAGUCUCUCAGGUAGGGCCGCGGCGCUCAGCGGCUGGAGGUCGACGGGAUUCGGAGGAAGCCUACAGAGUCUCGGCCUUGCCCAGCGGUGGCGUCGCUGCUCCAGGCCGAUCUUCGAGCCAGCAGAAAAGCCACAGAGGGCAGCGAAUGCGGCAGCGGGCGGCAGAACACAGGGAAGAACAGCCCGCGCAAUAGGCGGCGACUGAUGCGACUUCCAUCCUGGCGGGGAAGGAGGUUCCCUAGUCGGCUCGACGCUUCAACACCAUGGAUAGGAGUCCCCCCACGGCCUCGGCGAUGGUUUUCCGACUGACAGAGGGUUGAAAAGCCCCUGAGCAACGCGAUACCGGAAGGACUGGGUAGGCCGGCUGGUGCGGUGGAAGCGAAGCCCAAAAUGGCCGCAGGGCCCGCGCGCCGGCAGGACACCCCCCUAGACGCCGGAAGAGACGCAGGACUGUUGGGCGUCUACGUCCCUAGCGCCGCGCCGCCCAACGUCACUCGCAAAAUCCCCGGGGGGCGGGCCUUUCCGCCCACUUCCGUGUGGCCGCCGAUUGGUUUUGCCAGAUUUCCCUGUCGGCUUCCUUACUCGAGGUAGAGCCGCACGGCAGCGUGAGGUUGCAUCAGCCGGGGCGGGGGGGGGGGGGGGGGGGGGGGGGGGAAUGCACGCAUGCGCAGUCGUUUCUGUGUGGUCUCCUAGGAGACCGCCCCAACAGCCCUCUAGGUUAAAGGUCUUGGGGAGGGGAGGGGUUUUCAAAAUAACCCGAGAAUUUCCCGGAGGCGUUUUGAUGGCCUAAUACACACUGACGUGUGUACAGUCAUCCCCUCUCAUGAAAUGGGGAUUAGUUCCAGGACCCCGUAGACACCAGAAUCCGCAGACGGUCAAGUCCCUUAUGUAAAAUGGUAUAGUGUUUGCAUAUAACCUGCAUACACCUUCCCAGAUAUUUAAACCAUCCCCUAGAUUAAGUAUAAUACCUAAUACAAUGCAAGUGCUAUGGAAC
ensembl:lncRNA novel transcript, antisense to PPP1R15B